UAGGCGCGUAGCUCAGUUGGUUAGAGCACUACCUUGACAUGGUAGGGGUCGGUGAUUCGAAUUCACUCGUGCCUACC
rnacentral:tRNA from 1 species